AGUGAACGCUGGCGGUAGGCCUAACACAUGCAAGUCGAACGGCAGCACAGUAAGAGCUUGCUCUUACGGGUUGCGAGUGGCGGACGGGUGAGGAAUACAUCGGAAUCUACUUUUUCGUGGGGGAUAACGUAGGGAAACUUACGCUAAUACCGCAUACGACCUACGGGUGAAAGCAGGGGAUCUUCGGACCUUGCGCGAUUGAAUGAGCCGAUGUCGGAUUAGCUAGUUGGCGGGGUAAAGGCCCACCAAGGCGACGAUCCGUAGCUGGUCUGAGAGGAUGAUCAGCCACACUGGAACUGGGACACGGUCCAGACUCCUACGGGAGGCAGCAGUGGGGAAUAUUGGACAAUGGGCGCAAGCCUGAUCCAGCCAUACCGCGUGGGUGAAGAAGGCCUUCGGGUUGUAAAGCCCUUUUGUUGGGAAAGAAAAGCAGCAGGUUAAUACCCCGCUGUUCUGACGGUACCCAAAGAAUAAGCACCGGCUAACUUCGUG
rnacentral:rRNA from 1 species